rnacentral:rRNA from 1 species
GAUGAACGCUGGCGGCGUGCCUAAUACAUGCAAGUCGAGCGAACGGACGAGAAGCUUGCUUCUCUGAUGUUAGCGGCGGACGGGUGAGUAACACGUGGAUAACCUACCUAUAAGACUGGGAUAACUUCGGGAAACCGGAGCUAAUACCGGAUAAUAUUUUGAACGGCAUGGUUCAAAAGUGAAAGACGGUCUUGCUGUCACUUAUAGAUGGAUCCGCGCUGCAUUAGCUAGUUGGUAAGGUAACGGCUUACCAAGGCAACGAUGCAUAGCCGACCUGAGAGGGUGAUCGGCCACACUGGAACUGAGACACGGUCCAGACUCCUACGGGAGGCAGCAGUAGGGAAUCUUCCGCAAUGGGCGAAAGCCUGACGGAGCAACGCCGCGUGAGUGAUGAAGGUCUUCGGAUCGUAAAACUCUGUUAUUAGGGAAGAACAUAUGUGUAAGUAACUGUGCGCAUCUUGACGGUACCUAAUCAGAAAGCCACGGCUAACUACGUG